UACGGGGGGGGCAAGCGUUGUUCGGAAUUACUGGGCGUAAAGGGCUCGUAGGCGGCCAACUAAGUCAGACGUGAAAUCCCCAGGCUCAACCUGGGAACUGCGUCUGAUACUGGUUGGCUUGAAUCCGGGAGAGGGAUGCAGAAUUCCAGGUGUAGCGGUGAAAUGCGUAGAUAUCUGGAGGAAUACCGGUGGCGAAGGCGGCAGCCUGGACCGGCAUUGACGCUGAGGAGCGAAAGCCAGGGGAGCAAACGGG
rnacentral:rRNA from 1 species